GUGUCAGCCGCCGCGGUAAUACAGAGGGUGCAAGCGUUGUUCGGAAUUACUGGGCGUAAAGCGCGUGUAGGCGGCGCUGUAAGUCCUGUGUGAAAGCCCUGGGCUCAACCCAGGAAGUGCGCAGGAUACUGCAGGGCUUUGAGUACUGGAGAGGAUGGCGGAAUACCCGGUGUAGAGGUGAAAUUCGUAGAUAUCGGGUGGAACACCUGUGGCGAAGGCGGCCAUCUGGACAGUCACUGACGCUGAGACGCGAAAGCGUGGGGAGCAAACAGGAUUAGAUACCCUGGUAGUCCACGCUGUAAACGAUGGAUGCUAGAUGUCACGGGUAUUGACCCCUGUGGUGUCGACGCUAACGCAUUAAGCAUCCCGCCUGGGG
rnacentral:rRNA from 1 species